rnacentral:rRNA from 1 species
CACGUAGGGCGCAAGCGUUGUCCGGAAUUAUUGGGCGUAAAGAGCUCGUAGGCGGUCUGUUGCGUCUGCUGUGAAAACUCGGGGCUUAACCCCGAGCCUGCAGUGGAUACGGGCAGACUAGAGGUAGGUAGGGGAGAAUGGAAUUCCCGGUGUAGCGGUGAAAUGCGUAGAUAUCUGGAGGAACACCGGUGGCGAAGGCGGCAUCCUGGACCAACACUGACACUGAGGAGCGAAAGCCAGGGGAGCAAACGGG